GGUGCCUUGCCAAUGACAUAGCUUUAUGUCCAUAACCAAGCCAUUGCAUCCUUUGCAAUCGAGCCAAUGUUAAGAAUCCGACUAUUUUGUAUUAUUUUGUAGAAAAGCUUUUGAAAAAAAAUAUCCAAUAUUGAACUUAGUGUACGAUGCGCCAAACCAUCUCGGGUUGGGGUAGACUCUUCUUGCCAGAGAAUCCAAAGCA
rnacentral:lncRNA from 1 species